CUUUCCAGACAGUCCAAGGGAGACUGGUUUUGAGGACAAAACCACAAACUGUGCAGGCCAACACUGGCUGAAGAGUGACCUUGGGUUGUCCAUGAGAUAGACACCCUCCAGAGAAGAGUAAGCAGUAAUGAUCUUAUCAUUUCCUCCCUUGUUGCCUGACUGUAAAGGAAGAAUAUUUGCAUUCUGUUGUGUAGAUGAUGUGAAUGGAGACAGCAGUGCUCGUCUCACAAAGAGCAAAUUAACAGCCCUGAAGCUGAACAAUCACACUGUUGCCAUUGGAAACCGACCACUUUAUGAACUCACCUCUGAGAAUAAAACCACUUUGCCAUGUUCACACUCAUGAGAAAUCGAUAAAUGGUGGAAUUGCGGAAGAACGCCUUGGUCUGUCUGGUUUGGCCAAAUCAAAUCAUGCUAAGUUAACUGUGCAGAAGGUCACAUCAACUUUAAGAAAGAUUCAUUCAGCCACUUUUUCAGAAGACAGAAAUUGAAACUACAAGGUUAAUCCGUGUUAGUUUGCUGGUUAUGCUGUAUUUAUAUUAUAAAAAAAGGACAUUUUAAGUUUGAAGUGAUGGUUGUGAGGAUGUUGUUUAGCUUUGUGAGGCCAACAUAAAAUGUGUAAAUGUUGCCAAAUGUA